rnacentral:lncRNA from 1 species
GAACUUUCCUUAUGGUCAUCUUUGGGUGGAGCCACCACUUCCAGUUCUGAUCUUCUCAUUCUGGUUGAGUACCUGGGCUUGCCAGUGCACCCCCCAGGAACACCGCCUAGUCCAGGGCUCCCACAGGUCUCAGACUGACAGGAGACUGGGUCAUAUGACCAGCACUAGCCAAUGAGCUGUGAGUACACGUGACACAGGGACAAGCUGGGUCAUGUGACUGGCACUAGCCAAUGAGCUGUGAGGACGUGAGCACAGGUCCAGCUAGGCUGGGUCAUAUGACAAGCAUUAGCCAAUGAGCUGUGAGGACACGUGAGUACAGGUCCAGCUAGGCUGGGACAUGUGACUGGCACUGGCCCAUGGGCUGUGAGCACAGGUCAGGUCAGCCCCUUCCUGCUGCUUCCCACCGUGUGUGCUCCUUGUCUGACUUGAUAUGAGAACUAACCCAAUAUGGCAGGAAGCCACUGACAUGUGGGAGCCGUGCAUGGCAGUGGCCAGCGUCCUUGUCCUGCGGGGGCUCUGUGGACAUCACUCGCCUUCAGAACACUGAGCCCUCCUACCUCCUGAUAUCCAGGGCUGCCGAUGGGAAAUCCCAGGCUGCCGCGGCUCCUGUGUGCUUUGAAGGGUGCGCGACUCUGCUCUCAAGACCCCCUGGAGGCCCGCCCCCUGCCCCCCACCAGCUCAUUCGUUAGAUGAUUGGAAGUGACUGCCUACGUCUUCUUUCAGGAUAAAGCCUCAAGUCCUGCAACUAUUCCUUGUGUGAUAACGUUUCAAAUCCCUUCCUGGUUCUGGCAAAGCUCCUCAAACAUGCUCCAGUGUGCUGGGGCUCUGCAUGUGUGAGCCUGGGGCCAGCAGGGCGCACGUUCAUGUCAGGGCACCAGUAUGAUCCUGAUGACACAUGACUGGUGUGGAGCCCCGGGUGUUUCCACGGGAACUGCUGUCGGCCGGAUUGCUGUGCUCUGCAGCUGUGCCCA